AUGAUAGCUAGUGAUUUUAAUGAAAUUUUGUACUCUCAUGAAAAGGAGGGUGGCGCGCCGAGGCCUAUGCGUAUGAUGCAAAAUUUCCAUGAUGCUCUUGUUGACUGCGAGAUGGAGAAUAUGGGAUGCAACGGGGAUCUGUACACUUGGAGGAGGAGGAGAAUCAGAGAACGGCUUGACAGAUCGGUGUGCAAUGGCCAGUUCCUUGGUCUCUUCCCAAACACAAAGGUCACAAAUACUGAUCAUAUAAAGUCGGAUCACAGACCACUUUUCAUUGAUACCGACGGAGAUGUGCAGGUGUAUUCCCAGAAUACCCAUGGGAAAUGUUUUGAGUCCAGAUGGCUGCAAGAAGAUAACAUAAUGCAGUUUGUGUCUGAAGCUUGGGAAAGAUCAGACCCGACAACACCAAUUGCAGAACGAACAGCGAGCAUCCACACCACUUUGCAUGAGUGGGAUCGCUCGAUCCUGAAGGCGCCCCAACGACGCUUGAAGGAACUGAAGGCGGAGCUGGAACAGUUGCGGUCGGGCCCUCUCACUGAUGAGGCGGGAGACAAGCAACGAAUUCUGUUAAUGGAGAUAGAAGAAAACUUGGAGAAGGAAGAGAUCUAUUGGGUACAGCAUAACCGUGCAAACUGGCUUAAAUUUGGUGACCACAACACCAAUAUUUUUCAUAAUUUUGCAUCGGCUAGGAGAACGAGGAACUACAUAAAAUGA
rnacentral:rRNA from 1 species